rnacentral:lncRNA from 1 species
AGGGUUUUUGCUACUGAUUAUUCCUUGAAUCCUUACAUAUGCAAAUUAAAAAUAGAGUUAGCAAAACGAUUUAGAAGACAAUAAUACCUCUUAAUCUUGUAGAGCUAAUUCAAUCGAGAAAAUAUCGUCUAAAUUGUAACGAUCUGGUACUACCCACAGACAAACAAGUCGAAUUUUCAACUUCUACUGUAUUUUUGAAAUUGUUAUAUCUUUGAUUAUAUCAUUG